AUAUGAAGUCGAACCUGCCCAGUGAAAAUUUUUUAACGGCCGCGGUACUCUGACCGUGCAAAGGUAGCAUAAUCAUUUGCCUUCUAAUUAAAGGCUAGUAUGAAUGGUCUGACGAGAAUAUAGCUGUCUCUUUAUAAUUAUAUAAAAUUUUAUCUCUGGGUGAAAAAGCCCAGAUUAAAUUAAUAGACAAGAAGACCCUAUCGAGCUUAAAAACAUUUUAUAAAACAAGAUUUAUUAUAUAAGAGAACUGAUUAUUAAAUAUUUUGGUUGGGGCAACCAAGGAGCAUAAGAAGCCUCCUUUAAAGUUUACUAAAAAUAUUCAAAUAUUGAUCCAAAAAGUUUGAUUAAAGAAAAUAGUUACCGUAGGGAUAACAGCAUAAUCUUUUUUAAGAGUUCUUAUCGAAAAAAAGGUUUGUGACCUCGAUGUUGGACCAAAGUAUCCUGAAGAUGUAGAAGUCUUUAAGGGUUGGUCUGUUCGACCAUUAAAACUUUA
rnacentral:rRNA from 1 species